AACGAACGCUGGCGGCAGGCUUAACACAUGCAAGUCGAACGCACCUUUCGUGGUGAGUGGCAGACGGGUGAGUAACGCGUGGGAAUCUACCCUUCUCUACGGGAUAGCUCCGGGAAACUGGAAUUAAUACCGUAUACGUCCUGAGGGAGAAAGAUUUAUCGGGGAAGGAUGAGCCCGCGUUGGAUUAGCUAGGUGGUGGGGUAAAGGCCUACCAAGGCGACGAUCCAUAGCUGGUCUAAGAGGAUGAUCAGCCACAUUGGGACUGAGACACGGCCCAAACUCCUACGGGAGGCAGCCGUGGGGAAUAUUGGCCAAUGGGCGCAAGCCUGAUCCAGCCAUGCCGCGUGAGUGAUGAAGGCCCUAGGGUUGUAAAGCUCUUUCAGUGGGGACGAUAAUGACGGUACCCACAGAAGAAGCCCCGGCUAACUUCGUG
rnacentral:rRNA from 1 species